AUUGAAAGAAUAAAUUAAUUAAUUUUGCCUGGAACAAAACCAACGGUGUUGAUAAACUCCAUUUUUACAUCUGAGUCGUCUCCUUUGUGCUUUCUUCUCCAGCGUCCGAUCUCCUCUCUUUCUUCCCCAAUCCUCUCCAUCUAAAGCCUCUCCCUCUCUCGCGCCCUUUUACAAAUCACUACUCUCCCUCACUUGCUCCACCAGGGUUUUGGGGAUGGCUUCCGAGGCACCAGCGAGUCCAGGCGGUGGAAGCCACGAGAGCGGCGACCAAAGUCCCAAAUCGAACGUGCGUGAACAGGAUAGGUACCUUCCGAUUGCUAACAUUAGUCGGAUCAUGAAGAAGGCGCUUCCUGCUAAUGGCAAGAUUGCCAAGGAUGCUAAAGAGACUGUUCAGGAAUGUGUUUCUGAGUUCAUUAGCUUUAUCACCAGCGAGGCCAGUGAUAAGUGUCAGAGAGAGAAGAGAAAGACGAUAAACGGUGAUGAUUUGCUUUGGGCUAUGGCAACUUUAGGUUUUGAGGAUUAUAUUGAUCCGCUUAAGAUUUAUCUGACUAGAUAUAGAGAGAUGGAGGGUGACACUAAGGGUUCUGCUAAGGGAGAAUCAUCUUCUAAGAAAGAUAUUCCACCAGGCCACAACACACCCCAGCUUGCCCAUCAAGGUUCUUUCUCACAAGGUGUUAGCUAUGGAAAUUCUCAAUCUCAGUCACAGUCACAUAUGAUGCUUCCAAUGCAUGGCGCAGAGUAGAAUCUGCACUGCAACAACCGGUUAAAUGUAUCUCAUUGAAGAUCUUGCCUGGUGCUCUCAACAUAAAUUAUAUUGAAGUGCACCAUAGAUAGAGCCUUCCUCAAAAGAAAGCAGAGUCGGUGUUGUGUGAAUGCUAUUCAAGUUGCUCGUCAAAAUCCAUGUAGCUUUGCUGAGGUUUUUCCAAGUCAAUAAGCACUGCUUUUGAUUACUUUUCAAGUUUUCAUGCCGCAUUGUAUUGUCGUUUCCUUCAUUUUUACGUUUUUAGUGUUAGUCGAAGAGUGCCCCCUGACCAUGUUUCGGUCUUAUCUGCUGUGCCUAUUUCUUUUCUUUUUUUUAAUCGCUUGUUUAUGAUAAUUUUGUAAAGUUUUUGAUAAUCAUAAAGAUAAUUUUUAGUA